UAGAGAUUCAUGCCAAGACUUGAUAAACGC
rnacentral:piRNA from 1 species